rnacentral:rRNA from 1 species
GGAGCGCAUGCUCUGUAUAUUAAAGCACCCCUCAAGGUGUGAACAUGGAUGGACCUGCGGCGCAUUAGCUAGUUGGUGAGGUAACGGCCCACCAAGGCGAUGAUGCGUAGCCGGCCUGAGAGGGUAAACGGCCACAUUGGGACUGAGACACGGCCCAAACUCCUACGGGAGGCAGCAGUAGGGAAUUUUCGUCAAUGGGGGGAACCCUGAACGAGCAAUGCCGCGUGAGUGAAGAAGGUCUUCGGAUCGUAAAGCUCUGUUGUAAGUGAAGAACGGCUCAUAGAGGAAAUGCUAUGGGAGUGACGGUAGCUUACCAGAAAGCCACGGCUAACUACGUGCCAGCAGCCGCGGUAAUACGUAGGUGGCAAGCGUUAUCCGGAAUCAUUGGGCGUAAAGGGUGCGUAGGUGGCGUACUAAGUCUGUAGUAAAAGGCAAUGGCUCAACCAUUGUAAGCUAUGGAAACUGGUAGGCUAGAGUGCAGAAGAGGGCGAUGGAAUUCCAUGUGUAGCGGUAAAAUGCGUAGAUAUAUGGAGGAACACCAGUGGCGAAGGCGGUCGCCUGGUCUGUAACUGACACUGAGGCACGAAAGCGUGGGGAGCAAAUAGGAUUAGAUACCCUAGUAGUCCACGCCGUAAACGAUGAGAACUAAGUGUUGGAGGAAUUCAGUGCUGCAGUUAACGCAAUAAGUUCUCCGCCUGGGGAGUAUGCACGCAAGUGUGAAACUCAAAGGAAUUGACNGGGGGCCCGCACAAGCGGUGGAGUAUGUGGUUUAAUUCGAAGCAACGCGAAGAACCUUACCAGGCCUUGACAUGGNAUGCAAANRCUCUAGAGAUAGAGAGAUAAAUAUGGAUCACACAGGUGGUGCAUGGUUGUCGUCAGCUCGUGUCGUGAGAUGUUGGGUUAAGUCCCGCAACGAGCGCAACCCUUGUCGCAUGUUACCAGCAUCAAGUUGGGGACUCAUGCGAGACUGCCGGUGACAAACCGGAGGAAGGUGGGGAUGACGUCAAAUCAUCAUGCCCCUUAUGGCCUGGGCUACACACGUACUACAAUGGCGACCACAAAGAGCAGCGACUUGGUGACAAGAAGCGAAUCUCAUAAAGGCCGUCUCAGUUCGGAUUGAAGUCUGCAACUCGACUUCAUGAAGUCGGAAUCGCUAGUAAUCGCAGAUCAGCAUGCUGCGGUGAAUACGUUCUCGGGCCUUGUACACACCGCCCGUCAAACCAUGGGAGUCAGUAAUACCCGAAGCCGGUGGCAUAACCGUAA